rnacentral:rRNA from 1 species
GACGAACGCUGGCGGCGUGCCUAAUACAUGCAAGUAGAACGCUGAAGAGAGGAGCUUGCUCUUCUUGGAUGAGUUGCGAACGGGUGAGUAACGCGUAGGUAACCUGCCUUGUAGCGGGGGACAACUAUUGGAAACGAUAGCUAAUACCGCAUAACAAUGGAUGACACAUGUCAUUUAUUUGAAAGGGGCAAUUGUUCCACUACAAGAUGGACCUGCGUUGUAUUAGCUAGUAGGUGAGGUAAUGGCUCACCUAGGCGACGAUACAUAGCCGACCUGGGAGGGUGAUCGGCCACACUGGGACUGAGACACGGCCCAGACUCCUACGGGAGGCAGCAGUAGGGAAUCUUCGGCAAUGGGGGCAACCCUGACCGAGCAACGCCGCGUGAGUGAAGAAGGUUUUCGGAUCGUAAAGCUCUGUUGUAAGUCAAGAACGGGUGUGAGAGUGGAAAGUUCACACUGUGACGGUAGCUUACCAGAAAGGGACGGCUAACUACGUG